AUACGUAGGGGGCGAGCGUUGUCCGGAAUGAUUGGGCGUAAAGGGCGCGUAGGCGGCCCGGUAAGUCUGGAGUGAAAGUCCUGUUUUUAAGAUGGGAAUUGCUUUGGAUACUGUCGGGCUUGAGUGCAGGAGAGGUAAGUGGAAUUCCCAGUGUAGCGGUGAAAUGCGUAGAGAUUGGGAGGAACACCAGUGGCGAAGGCGACUUACUGGACUGUAACUGACGCUGAGGCGCGAAAGUGUGGGGAGCAAACAGGAUUAGAUACCCUGGUAGUCCACACUGUAAACGAUGAAUGCUAGGUGUAGGGGGUAUCGACCCCUUCUGUGCCGCAGUUAACACAAUAAGCAUUCCGCCUGGGGAGUACGGCCGCAAGGUUGAAACUCAAAGGAAUUGACGGGG
rnacentral:rRNA from 1 species